rnacentral:rRNA from 1 species
UGAACCUGGCGGAAGGACAUUACCGAGUUAGGGUGCCUCGUCGCGCCCGACCUCCAACCCUUUGCUUACUUGACCUAUAUUGUUGCUUCGGCAGGCCCGCCCCCCGGAAACGGGUGGCCGCCGGGGGCGUUUCACCGCCCCGGGCCCGUGCCUGUCGAUGGCCCUAUUAAAACUCUUGUCAAAACGUGUCGUCUGAGUUUAUCUAAACAAAUAAAAACCAAAACUUUCAACAACGGAUCUCUUGGUUCUGGCAUCGAUGAAGAACGCAGCGAAAUGCGAUAAGUAAUGCGAAUUGCAGAAUCCGUGAGUCAUCGAAUCUUUGAACGCACAUUGCGCCCUCUGGUAUUCCGGAGGGCAUGCCUGUUCGAGCGUCAUUAUCACCCCUCAAGCCCGGCUUGUUGUUGGAUGCAGCGCUUAUCCCGCUCCUCCCAAAGAUAAUGACGGCGUCUGCGACGACUCCUGUACACUGAGCUUUCGGGCACGUACACGGCUAGAAGUCCAGACCCGGUCGCCGUCCCCCCCGCGGGGACACCCAUUACCACAAGGUUGACCUCGGAUCAGGUAGGAAUACCCGCUGAACUUAAGCAUAUCAAUAAGGCGGAGGA